rfam:Shewanella amazonensis SB2B, complete genome.
GCUGAUAUAGCUCAGUCGGUAGAGCGCAUCCUUGGUAAGGAUGAGGUCGGCAGUUCGAUUCUGCCUAUCAGCA